AGAGUUUGAUCCUGGCUCAGAUUGAACGCUGGUGGCAUGCUUAACACAUGCAAGUCGAACGGUAACAGGUCUUCGGAUGCUGACGAGUGGCGGACGGGUGAGUAACGCGUAGGAAUCUGCCCAUCUGUGGGGGAUACCAGUUGGAAACGACUGUUAAUACCGCAUAAUAUCUGCGGAUUAAAGGUGGCCUUUGCGCUGCCGCAGAUGGAUGAGCCUGCGUUGGAUUAGCUAGUUGGUGGGGUAAGGGCCUACCAAGCUACGAUCCAUAGCUGAUUUGAGAGGAUGAUCAGCCACAUUGGGACUGAGACACGGCCCAAACUCCUACGGGAGGCAGCAGUGGGGAAUAUUGGACAAUGGGGGAAACCCUGAUCCAGCAAUGCCAUGUGUGUGAAGAAGGCUCUAGGGUUGUAAAGCACUUUAGUUGGGGAGGAAAGCCUGUGAGUUAAUAGCUUGCAGGAAGGACGUUGCCCAAAGAAUAAGGACCGGCUAACUCCGUGCCAGCAGCCGCGGUAAUACGGGGGGUCCGAGCGUUAAUCGGAAUUACUGGGCGUAAAGGGUCUGUAGGUGGUUUGUUAAGUCAGAUGUGAAAGCCCAGGGCUCAACCUUGGAACUGCAUUUGAUACUGACAAACUAGAGUAUGGUAGAGGAAUAGGGAACUUCUGGUGUAGCGGUGAAAUGCGUAGAGAUCAGAAGGAACACCAAUGGCGAAGGCAACAUUCUGGACCAAUACUGACACUGAGGGACGAAAGCGUGGGGAUCAAACAGGAUUAGAUACCCUGGUAGUCCACGCUGUAAACGAUGAGUACUAGCUGUUGGAUUCGGUGUAAAGGAUCUAGUGGCGCAGCUAACGCGUUAAGUACUCCGCCUGGGGACUACGGCCGCAAGGCUAAAACUCAAAGGAAUUGACGGGGACCCGCACAAGCGGUGGAGCAUGUGGUUUAAUUCGAUGCAACGCGAAGAACCUUACCUGGUCUUGACAUCCUGCGAACUUUCUAGAGAUAGAUUGGUGCCUUCGGGAACGCAGUGACAGGUGCUGCACGGCUGUCGUCAGCUCGUGUUGUGAAAUGUUGGGUUAAGUCCCGCAACGAGCGCAACCCCUAUUGAUAGUUACCAUCAUUAAGUUGGGUACUCUAUUGAGACUGCCGCUGACAAGGCGGAGGAAGGUGGGGACGACGUCAAGUCAUCAUGGCCCUUACGACCAGGGCUACACACGUGCUACAAUGGGUAUUACAGAGGGCUGCGAAGGUGCGAGCUGGAGCGAAACUCAGAAAGGUACUCUUAGUCCGGAUUGCAGUCUGCAACUCGACUGCAUGAAGUCGGAAUCGCUAGUAAUCGCAGGUCAGAAUACUGCGGUGAAUACGUUCCCGGGUCUUGUACACACCGCCCGUCACACCAUGGGAGUGGGUUGCUCCAGAAGUAGAUAGCUUAACGAAUGGGCGUUUACCACGGAGUGAUUCAUAACUGGGGUGAAGUCGUAACAAGGUAGCCGUAGGGGAACCUGCGGCUGGAUCACCU
rnacentral:rRNA from 1 species